rnacentral:lncRNA from 1 species
GGAAGCCAGCAGCGGGGAGAGCUGGGGGGGGACCCUCUUCUGCUGCGCCCCAAUCCCUCCUCCCCUCACCCCUACACCCUUGCAUCAGACAGAGGGGCCGCUCCACCACCCCACGCCCCCACUCCAAGGCAGUGGCGAUGUUUUCCGGACCCCAAAUCAAGAGCCUGGUGUGAGAGGCAGGGUGUUUGGAAACAUUGUCAGAAGGAACAGGAAUGAUAAACAGAGCUCUGCACUGGGAAGGAAAGGAAGCCGAGAGGACCCAUCUGAGAGAUCAGGUACAGCUUUCCUGGGGAACGGACUGCGAGCUGAAGCACAAGGUGUUAACUGGGUGAAGAGGGAGGGAUGCAUGGUCCUGGAGCAGGAACAGCACGUGCAAGGGCCCUGGGGUGGGAAGGGGGAAGAGCAGUGUGGCUGGAGCUCAGAAGAAAGGAGGAGCUGGAGAGGCGCAUCAGCAUCAAAGUCGGGGUGGGGGGGACCCCAGGAGCCCUGGGGAGCCCUGGGAGAGUUUUGUGUGAGAGGGCUGAUGUGAUUGGGGCUUUGAUUUUUC